rfam:Anopheles melas strain CM1001059_A cont2.7107, whole genome shotgun sequence.
ACCGGACAUAUGCUUCGCAAUGAGAUAUGAUCUGUAGCUCCAAUGAGGGAUAAUAUAGGCUCUCCUAUUCAACUCCUAUCCGAAUGUCCCUGUUCGUGGUAACAUAUGUCACCACAUAUCCAUGCUUGGGUACAUGAACUGGCGAAGCAGUAGGAGGAUGGGUAUCCUAUGAAUGUCGG